rnacentral:rRNA from 1 species
CUAAACCUACUUAUAAUGGCGGCAUUAUAUCUUAUUAGAGGAACCUGUUUUUUAAUCGACAAUCCACGUUAAUUUUCACUUUAAUUAAAAAUUUAUAUAUCGCCAUCCAAAAUUAAUCUAAUAAAAUUUUUCUAAAAAAAACUAAAAGGUUAGGUCAAGGUGUAGUUUAUAUUAAAGCAAAUAAUGGGUUACAUUAAAAAAAUUUAAGGAUUUUUAUACUAAAAUAUUUCUUGAAAAGGGAUUUAAUGGUAAUAGUUAAAUAAUAAUUUACUAUG